rnacentral:rRNA from 1 species
CCUACGGGAGGCAGCAGUGAGGAAUAUUGGUCAAUGGACGAGAGUCUGACCCAGCCAAGUAGCGUGAAGGAUGACUGCCCUCUGGGUUGUAAACUUCUUUUAUAUGGGAAUAAAACAGGGUAUGCAUACCCUCUUGUAUGUACCAUAUGAAUAAGGAUCGGCUAACUCCGUGCCAGCAGCCGCGGUAAUACGGAGGAUCCGAGCGUUAUCCGGAUUUAUUGGGUUUAAAGGGAGCGUAGGUGGAUUGUUAAGUCAGUUGUGAAAGUUUGCGGCUCAACCGUAAAAUUGCAGUUGAAACUGGCAGGCUUGAGUACAGUAGAGGUGGGCGGAAUUCGUGGUGUAGCGGUGAAAUGCUUAGAGAUCACGAAGAACUCCGAUUGCGAAGGCAGCUCACUGGACUGCAACUGACACUGAUGCUCGAAAGUGUGGGUAUCAAACAGGAUUAGAUACCCGAGUAGUC